rnacentral:lncRNA from 1 species
CACACGAACAGAAAAGAAUAAGAGAAGAAGGGAGAGCAAUACAAGAAGCAGAGGGCAAUGCACAGAGAGAGGAAGAGCAGAGGAAGUCAGGAGCACGGGAGAAAGGAAAAGAAGUCAGGAGCAACGGAGAGCUCGUCUUGCUAAAUCGGGUGUUUUCUUUCUUUGUUAUUUUGUUUUAUGGAUAAUUUCUUAUGUAUUAAUACAAGUAUGUAUAACUAAUUUAU